UAGUAGAACACUAUGCAAGAAGAGAAGAGCAAAGAAGAUC
rnacentral:sRNA from 1 species